CCGCGGUAACACGGAAGCCCCGAGCGUUGUUCGGAUUCAUUGGGCGUAAAAGGGUGCUUAGCCGGCGCGGAAAGUCCGGCGUGAAAGCCAGGGGCUCAACCUCUGGACUGCGUUUGGAUACUUCCGUGCUUGAGGACUGGAGGGGAGACUGGAAUUCACGGUGUAGCAGUGAAAUGCGUAGAUAUCGUGAGGAAGACCGGCGGCGAAGGCGAGUCUCUGGACAGAUCCUGACGCUGAGGCACGAAGGCUGGGGGAGCGAACAGGAUUAGAUACCCUGGUAGUCCCAGCAGUAAACGAUGUGAGCUUGAUGUGGGGGGAUUCGACCCCUUCCGUGUCGAAGCUAACGCGAUAAGCUCACCGCCUGAGGAGUACGGCCGCAAGGCUAAAACUCGAAGAAAUUGACGGGGACCCGCACAAGCGGUGGAGUAUGUGGCUUAAUUCGAUGCAACGCGAAGAACCUUACCUGGCCUUGACAUGCAUUGUGUCGUCGGUGAAAGCCGGCUAGUCCUGGAAACAGGACGCUUUGCACAGGUGCUGCAUGGCUGUCGUCAGCUCGUGUCGUGAGAUGUUGGGUUAAGUCCCGCAACGAGCGCAACCCUUGUGGUCAGUUACUAACCGGCUUAGCCGGAGGACUCUGGCCAGACUGCCCUGUCAAACGGGGGGGAAGGUGGGGACGACGUCAAGUCAGUAUGGCCCUUAUGGCCAGGGCUGCACACGUACUACAAUGCCCGGUACAAUGUGAACCGAAACCGCGAGGUGGAGGAAAUCGCUCUUGAAAACCGGGCCCAGUUCGGAUUGGAGUCUGCAACUCGACUCCAUGAAGUCGGAAUCGCUAGUAAUGGCGUAUCAGCAACGACGCCGUGAAUACGUUCCCGGGUCUUGUACACACCGCCCGUCACAUCAUGGAAGUCUCCUGUACCCGAAGCACGUGCGCCAACCUUUUAGGAGGCAGCGUUCGAAGGUAUGGGAGGCAACUGGGAUGAAGUCGUA
rnacentral:rRNA from 1 species